GCGGCGAGCGAACGGGGACCAGCCGAGCCCAAUAAGUGACCAGAAUGCGUUGGGAAGCGCAGCCAUAGCGGGUGACAGCCCCGUAUGGGAAGCUUUGAGGGACGUAUCAAGUAGGGCGGAACACGUGAAAUUCUGUCUGAAGAUCGGAGGACCACCUUCGAAGGCUAAGUACUCCUUACUGACCGAUAGCGAACCAGUACCGUGAGGGAAAGGUGAAAAGCACCCCGACGAGGGGAGUGAAACAGAUCCUGAAACCGGACGCCUACAAGCAGUCGGAGCCGCCUUGCGCGGUGACGGCGUACCUUUUGUAUAA
rnacentral:rRNA from 1 species